GGGGAAUUUUCCGCAAUGGGCGAAAGCCUGACGGAGCAAUACCGCGUGAGGGAGGAAUGCCUUUGGGUUGUAAACCUCUUUUCUCAGGGAAGAAGAUCUGACGGUACCUGAGGAAUAAGUAUCGGCUAACUCCGUGCCAGCAGCCGCGGUAAUACGGAGGAUGCAAGCGUUAUCCGGAAUCAUUGGGCGUAAAGCGUCCGCAGGUGGUUUCCAAAGUCUGCUGUUAAAGACUGGAGCUCAACUCCGGAACGGCGGUGGAAACUUGGAAACUAGAGUUCGGUAGGGGUAGCAGGAAUUCCCGGUGUAGCGGUGAAAUGCGUAGAUAUUGGGAAGAACAUCGGUGGCGAAGGCGUGCUACUGGACCGUAACUGACACUCAGGGACGAAAGCUAGGGGAGCGAAAGGGAUUAGAUACCCCUGUAGUCCUAGCUGUAAACGAUGGAAACUAGGUGUGGCUUG
rnacentral:rRNA from 1 species